rnacentral:ncRNA from 1 species
GCCCUGCCCUGGCCUUGUGAAAUUCAGAAGAUUUUCAUUACAUUGAAUAGGAAUAUACUGCUGCACACAGAGCCUUAUAUUGAAAUGGAUGACAUGGCUUGCCUGCUAAACAAGUGGAGUAGUUCAAGCCUCUGAGGAGAUUCAGUACAUAUUUCUGAAUCCAAAACAAGGCUACACUGUCAGCGGCAGGUGGGGAGUUUGACUGGGGCGGUACACCUGUCAAAGCAUAACGCAGGUGUCCUAAGGCGAGCUCAGGGAGGACGGAAACCUCCCGCGGAGCAGAAGGGCAAAAGCUCGCUUGAUCUUGAUAAAUGGGACUGUUGGAGUGAAAGAAAUUAAACAAAUGACAAAAACUGGGCAAGGAUCUCUUUUCACCUACAACAUAUUUGUGGAG